UUGUGCGAUGAUGGCAUACCAUCUUUCGGGUCUGAAUAUGAUGACAACCCUUCUUUACUGAGCACUC
rnacentral:snoRNA from 1 species